rnacentral:rRNA from 1 species
UACGUAAGUGGCGAGCGUUAUCCGGAAUUACUGGGCGUAAAGCGUUCGUAGGCGGCCUUUCAAGUUGGGUGUGAAAGCCCGGGGCUCAACCCCGGAAAUGCGCCCAAGACUGUUUGGCUCGAGACCCGGAGAGGUGAGUGGAACUCCCAGUGUAGAGGUGAAAUUCGUAGAUAUUGGGAAGAACACCAGUGGCGAAGGCGGCUCACUGGACGGGUACUGACGCUGAGGCACGAAAGCGUGGGGAGCAAACAGG